rnacentral:rRNA from 1 species
GUGGGGAAUCUUAGACAAUGGGCGCAAGCCUGAUCUAGCCAUGCCGCGUGAGCGAUGAAGGCCUUAGGGUUGUAAAGCUCUUUCGCUGGGGAAGAUAAUGACUGUACCCAGUAAAGAAGCCCCGGCUAACUCCGUGCCAGCAGCCGCGGUAAUACGGAGGGGGCUAGCGUUGUUCGGAAUUACUGGGCGUAAAGCGCGCGUAGGCGGAUUGGAAAGUUGGGGGUGAAAUCCCGGGGCUCAACCUCGGAACUGCCUUCAAAACUCCCAGUCUUGAGUUCGAGAGAGGUGAGUGGAAUUCCGAGUGUAGAGGUGAAAUUCGUAGAUAUUCGGAAGAACACCAGUGGCGAAGGCGACUCACUGGCCCGUUACUGACGCUGAGGCGCGAAAGCGUGGGGAGCAAACAGGAUUAGAUACCCGAGUAGUCC